rnacentral:tRNA from 1 species
CGCGUUGUGGCGCAGUGGAAGCGUGCCAGGCUCAUAACCUGGAGGUCCUAGGAACGAAACCUAGCGAUGCGU